ACCGGGGGCCCGCACAAGCGGUGGAGCAUGUGUUUAAUUCGAAGCAACGCGAAGAACCUUUACCAGGUCUUGACAUCCCGAUGCUUAUUUCUAGAGAUAGAAAGUUACUUCGGUACAUCGGUGACAGGUGGUGCAUGGUUGUCGUCAGCUCGUGUCGUGAGAUGUUGGGUUAAGUCCCGCAACGAGCGCAACCCCUAUUGUUAGUUGCCAUCAUUCAGUUGGGCACUCUAGCGAGACUGCCGGUAAUAAACCGGAGGAAGGUGGGAUGACGUCAAAUCAUCAUGCCUCUUAUGACCUGGGCUACACACGUGCUACAAUGGUUGGUACAACGAGUUGCGAGUCGGUGACGGCGAGCUAAUCUCUUAAAGCCAAUCUCAGUUCGGAUUGUAGGCUGCAACUCGCCUACAUGAAGUCGGAAUCGCUAGUAAUCGCGGAUCAGCACGCCGCGGUGAAUACGUUCCCGGGCCUU
rnacentral:rRNA from 1 species